AGGGUCUGUGUGCAGGAUGGCCUGGAUUCCUGCCCUCCUUAUGCUCCUCUGUCACUGUACAGGUUCCCUCUCCCAGCCUGUAUUGACUCAGCCACCAUCCGUCUCUGCAUCUCCUGGAACAACUGCCAGAGUCACCUGCACCCUGAGCAGUGGCCUCAAUGUUGGUGGUAACAGGAUCUUCUGGUACCAGCAAAAGGAAAGCAGCCGUCCCCGGUAUCUCCUGAACUACUACUCAGAAUCAGACAAGGGCCAGGGUUCCGGCGUUCCCAAUCGCUUUUCUGGUUCCAAAGAUACCUCAGCCAAUGCAGGGAUUCUGCUCAUCUCUGGGGUGCAAGCUGAGGAUGAGGCUGACUAUUACUGUGCUAUAUGGUACAGCAAUGCUUAUCCUCACAGUGAUUCAGAGUCAUGGGGAAGCUCCUGGGCACAGACUGGACUGACGCAGGAGAUAUCAGUGUCAGGGUCUGUGGAACAGACAGUCACACUCACCUGCACUGGAAACAGCAACAAUGUUGGUUACUAUGGUGUAGGCUGGUACCAGCAGAUUCUUGGUGCUGCCCCAAAGCUGUGA